UACGUAGGGUGCAAGCGUUAAUCGGAAUUACUGGGCGUAAAGCGCGCGCAGGCGGUUAUGCAAGACAGAUGUGAAAUUUCCGGGCUUAACCCGGGAACUGCAUUUGUGACUGCAUGGCUAGAGUACUGUAGAGGGGGGUGGAAUUCCGCGUGUAGCAGUGAAAUGCGUAGAUAUGCGGAGGAACACCGAUGGCGGAGGCAAUCCCCUGGACCUGUACUGACGCUCAUGCACGAAAGCGUGGGGAGCAAACAGGAUUAGAUACCCUGUUAGUCCACGCCCUAAACGAUGUCAACUGGUUGUUGGGAGGGUUUCUUCUCAGUAACGAAGCUAACGCGUGAAGUUGACCGCCUGGGGAGUACGGCCGCAAGGUUG
rnacentral:rRNA from 1 species